GGCACAUUGUGACGCGGAGCCUGGGCUGAGCACCUGCUCCCUGGUUCUCCACCUGCAGCCAGGAUCUGCCCCCGGCCCCGCUGGGAUCCAGGGGCCGGUGACCUUCGAGGAGGUGGCUGUGUAUUUCUCCAGGGAAGAGGGGACUCUGCUUGACCCCACUCAGAGAGCCCUCUACAGAGAUGUCAUGC